rnacentral:rRNA from 1 species
UACGGAGGGUGCAAGCGUUAUCCGGAUUCACUGGGUUUAAAGGGAGCGUAGGUGGGCUGGUAAGUCAGUGGUGAAAUCUCCGGGCUUAACUCGGAAACUGCCGUUGAUACUAUCAGUCUUGAAUAUUGUGGAGGUAAGCGGAAUAUGUCAUGUAGCGGUGAAAUGCAUAGAUAUGCCAUAGAACACCAAUUGCGAAGGCAGCUGGCUAGACCUAUAUUGACGCUGAGGCACGAAAGCGUGGGGAGCGAACAGG